AACGAACGCUGGCGGCGUGCCUAACACAUGCAAGUCGAACGAGAAAGGGGCUUCGGCCCUGAGUAAAGUGGCGCACGGGUGAGUAACACGUAGGUAACCUACCUCUAAGUUUAGGACAACCUGUCGAAAGAUGAGCUAAUACUGAAUGAGACCACAGUUUCUUCGGAAGCAGAGGUCAAAGGUAGCCUCUAUUUAUAAGCUAUCACUUAGAGAUGGGCCUGCGUACCAUUAGCAGUUGGUGAGGUAACGGCUCACCAAGGCAAAGAUGGUUAGCUGGUCUGAGAGGAUGAUCAGCCACACUGGAACUGAGACACGGUCCAGACUCCUACGGGAGGCAAGCAGUGGGGAAUAUUGCGCAAUGGGCGAAAGCCUGACGCAGCAACGCCGCGUGAG
rnacentral:rRNA from 1 species